CCUACGGGAGGCAGCAGUAAGGAAUAUUGGUCAAUGGAGGCAACUCUGAACCAGCCAUGCCGCGUGCAGGAAGACGGCCCUAUGGGUUGUAAACUGCUUUUGAACUAGAGAAAACCUUGGUACGUGUACCGAGUUGAUAGUAUAGUUAGAAUAAGCAUCGGCUAACUUCGUGCCAGCAGCCGCGGUAAGACGAAGGAUGCAAGCGUUAUCCGGAUUCAUUGGGUUUAAAGGGUGCGUAGGCGGACUGAUAAGUCAGUGGUGAAAUCUCUCAGCUUAACUGAGAACCUGCCAUUGAUACUGUUAGUCUAGAGUACAGAUGAUGUGGGCGGAAUAUGACAUGUAGUGGUGAAAUACUUAGAUAUGUCAUAGAACACCGAUUGCGAAGGCAGCUCACAAAACUGUAACUGACGCUGAGGCACGAAAGUGCGGGGAUCAAACAGGAUUAGAUACCCUGGUAGUCCGCACCGUAAACGAUGAUUACUCGUUGUUGGCGAUAUGACAGUCAGCGACCAAGCGAAAAGCGAUAAGUAAUCCACCUGGGGAGUACGCCGGCAACGGUUGAAACGUCAAAGGAAUUGACGGGCGNGAGAGNGCGAGGCGACACGAGGGAGGAGG
rnacentral:rRNA from 1 species